rnacentral:rRNA from 1 species
CUUAAAGGAAUUGACGGGGAGCACCACAACAGGUGGAGCCUGCGGUUAAUCGGACUCAACGCCGGGAAACUCACCAGAUAAGACAGCUGAAUGAUAGUCGGGCUGAAGACUCUACUUGACUAGCUGAGAGGAGGUGCAUGGCCGUCGUCAGUUCGUACUGUGAAGCAUCCUGUUAAGUCAGGCAACGAGCGAGACCCACGCCAACAGUUGCCAGCUCGUCCUCCGGGAUGGUGGGGACACUGUUGGGACCGCCUCUGCUAAAGAGGAGGAAGGAAUGGGCAACGGUAGGUCAGCAUGCCCCGAAUUAUCUGGGCUACACGCGGGCUACAAUGGGUGGGACAAUGGGUAUCGACACCGAAAGGUGAAGGCAAUCUCCUAAACCCAUCCGUAGUUCGGAUUGAGGGCUGCAACUCGCCCUCAUGAAGCUGGAAUCCGUAGUAAUCGCGUUUCAACAGAACGCGGUGAAUACGUCCCUGCUCCUU